GUCUACUGAAGAAAUCCAGCGUCUGAGGCCUGUGCCCAAGGCUCCCAGCCCGUAGCUUCAGGCUCUGCGCAGGUUCCCUCACGGCUGCUUCUUGUUUCUCACACUUCCAGAUCGAUCCUGUCCUCGGUACCGUGGGCUUCGGGUCUGGCCUCCAUGGGUGGGCCUUCACCCUGAAGCAGUUUGCCGAGAUGUACGUGGCCAAGUUCGCCGCCAAGGGGGAGGGCCAGUUGGGGCCUGCCGAACGGGCCAAGAAAGUAGAGGACAUGAUGAAGAAGCUGUGGGGUGACAGGUACUUUGACCCAGCCAACGGCAAGUUCAGCAAGUCAGCCACCAGCCCCGAAGGGAAGAAGCUGCCACGCACCUUCUGCCAGCUGAUCCUGGACCCCAUCUUCAAGGUGUUUGAUGCGAUCAUGAAUUUCAAGAAAGAGGAGACAGCAAAACUGAUAGAGAAACUGGACAUCAAACUGGACAGCGAGGACAAGGACAAAGAAGGCAAACCCCUGCUGAAGGCUGUGAUGCGCCGCUGGCUGCCCGCCGGAGACGCCUUGU
rnacentral:sRNA from 1 species